AGUGGGAUAGCUGGGUCAAAUGGUGGUUUCAUUCCAGGUUUCUAAGGAAUCUCCAUACUGCUUUCCAGAUUGGUUACACCAAUUUGCGGUCCCACCAGCAAU
rnacentral:pre_miRNA from 1 species